rnacentral:tRNA from 5 species
GGGGCAGUAGCUCAACCGGUCAGAGCAGCAGACUCAUAAUCUGUCAGGUUGUCGGUUCGAAUCCGACCUGCCCCACCA